GACCUACGGGAGGCAGCAGUGGGGAAUAUUGCACAAUGGGGGAAACCCUGAUGCAGCGACGCCGCGUGAGUGAAGAAGUAUUUCGGUAUGUAAAGCUCUAUCAGCAGGGAAGAUAAUGACGGUACCUGACUAAGAAGCCCCGGCUAACUACGUGCCAGCAGCCGCGGUAAUACGUAGGGAGCAAGCGUUAUCCGGAUUUAUUGGGUGUAAAGGGUGCGUAGACGGGAAUGCAAGUUGGUUGUGAAAUCCCUCGGCUUAACUGAGGAACUGCAACCAAAACUACAUUUCUUGAGUGCUGGAGAGGA
rnacentral:rRNA from 1 species